UACGGAGGGUGCGAGCGUUGUCCGGAAUCACUGGGCGUAAAGGCGCGUAGGCGGCUCGAUAAGGCUGUGGUGAAAGCCCGGGGCUCAACCCCGGGUCGGCCGUGGCGACUGUUGGGCUGGAGCACUGUAGAGGCGGGCGGAAUUCCGGGUGUAGCGGUGGAAUGCGUAGAGAUCCGGAAGAACACCGGUGGCGAAGGCGGCCCGCUGGGCAGGAAGGUGAGGAGCAAUCCUCGCCGGCUGACGCUGAGGCGCGACAGCGUGGGGAGCAACAGG
rnacentral:rRNA from 1 species